AAGUCGUAACAAGGUUUCCGUAGGUGAACCUGCGGAAGGAUCAUCAGUGUAUCUGGUUAUCUCACCCUUUGUGCCGUGUCCUUGCGGUGGGUUCGCCGCAUGUUUUUUUUAAUUAUUGCAUUUGCAACGCCUGAGCCUGAUCUGUCGAUUUUAAGAACACACACACAACUUUUAACAACGGAUCUCUUGGUUCUC
rnacentral:misc_RNA from 1 species